AUGGCCGGAAUUGUCAACAAGGAGUUUCCUGAGUUGGCCUAGACAGGGCUGAAUUACCUAUCAUGGUCCUCGAACUGCGAGAUCUUUCUCGAGGGAAAAACCCUCCUGAGUCCUGAGGGCGAUCGGUAAGGGGGCCCAGAUCCCAAGUUCAAAACUGAGAAUGCGCAGGCUCUGCACUUUCUCCGUCAUCACCUGUCACCUACUCUAAAAGAUGAGUAUAUGGCUGAGCGCAGUGCUUCUGGCCUUUGGACCGCUCUUAAGCAGCGGUUUGAGCGGCUAAAGUACACUGUGAAGCCAUGUGCGGAGGCAGAGUGGAUCUGUCUGAGCUGGAAGAUUGAGAAAACCCUAUCCACUUUCCAACCCGACGCGGUCCAGUCCGCACGGAACUACCGCCAGGGGAACUACACAAGGUAUUCAGAGUUGAUUGACGCCCUCCAGGUGGCGGAGGCACAGGACAAGGUUCUCAAAAAGAACUUUGUCACGCAACCACUUUGGGGGGGGGGAGUUCUUGCUAGGAGGUGAACGCUCUCAAAGUCCGCAAGCCUCAACAGAAGAAGAGGAGCCGCAAGGGCAAGAAGAAGGGCCCUCACCCCCCGCCCCGGCUCGGUGGAGCAUUUCUCCCGCCAGUGUCGCGCACCACCGGAGGUCGUUGAAGCAGACAAGGCUCGGAAGGCGCGUGAGACGCACCUCGCCUUGGUUCAGGAGGAAGCACCACCGGCGCCCCAUAGCGGCACCCGUGAUGAUCUCUACGCCCCCUGCCGCACCCAUAGAGGCGACCCCCGUGGUGCCCAUCGCGGCAGCUUUGGCGGUCUCUACCGACGCUCACGUCGCCAUGGAGGUUGA
rnacentral:rRNA from 1 species